rnacentral:lncRNA from 1 species
AAUGGCAUGAGGCCACAUGCCAUUCAGCCAAGGGAACGGACUUGGAAGAAUCAGCCGGGAAAGAAGACCCUGUUGAGCUUGACUCUAGUCCGACUUUGUCAAUGGGGGCUUUUCAUAUUUAUCCUCUUGAAAAACCAUAGAGGUCUAGUUUCGACAUGCUCGAAACUGGCAAAGAGCAUAUGGGGGGGUUGAGAAGAGGGGAGGAUCCCUAGAACUAGAGUGCGGUUCGGUUCUGUGCAGAUCAGAUCAAGGAACUAGUGUCCGGUUCUGUGCUGCCCAAAGCCAUGCCACUCACUCCGCAAACGCGUGCUCCCUAUCCGUACUGGUGGUGAACUUCGCGCCUUAUCCAUGGUCCUCAGCCUCAUCUCUCCCAUGUGGUUGCAUCUACAGAUGUGAAGGACUUGAGUCAAUCGUGAGAUCAGUGAAGGUACACCGCCCUUGCUUGAUCUCCAUCUGUAUGACGCCUACAGUUUUCCAGAGAUAUAAGAAGCCCCUGGAGAUGUACUGUCCUGGAUCCCACAGUGCGGUGAACUGAGGAGGAGUGUGCCGUCUCCGGUAAUGGUGAUGCUGCUGCUGCCUGGGAGUCCUCUCCUCGCUGCUGUGUGACUGAUCCCCUCCAACUGGGAUUGCUGUUUCCAGCCUCCCAUCAGGCCGUGCAAGUGUAGUGCCGCCACGCCAGUCCCACGGCCUCAUACCAGUGUAGCCGUACCCUUGGCACUAUCCAUCUGGAAUCACAACCAAAGGCGAGCCGCUCCUUUCGGAUCCGGGUUGAAGCUACGUUUCCGUACUCCAACAAGCUAGCCUGAUGCAGCUUCUGACACGAGCCGUGCCCCUCGAAACAUCCCAUACAUCAAAUGGCGUUGCUCCGAGUGCCUUGAUCAUGGUGGAUCCACAACCAAGGCAAGAAAGGGAUCAGCCAACACAGCUGUACCGUACAAAUUGGGACUUCAGUGUGCCGUCGAAAGUUGUUCCUUUGCCGAUUGGGACUAGGUGUACAAUCGGAGGGUAGGGAAGUGCUGCCACGUAGUUUGAAGGACCCGGUGCGUGUCGGAGAAUAGUGUCCUUUGCAUAUUCAAACGAGCAGCCGUAACGGCGCCAAGCGAGUUGUCCCCUCCUUAGGUGGAGCUUGGCUCUCCGGACCCCAAAACUCCGAACCCCAAGUGAAUGAGGAAGGAAGGACGCUGCCGAUGAGGUUCUGUGCAGCUAGUGUCCUUGGAAGAAGUUCCAGCAACCGUGGACUCCAAAGCCCCCAACUUGAACCAUGUUCCGAAAUUUGAACGUUUGGAUCUUGCUCGUGAACCGUUGGAUUGCCACGAAGUUUUGCUGGCGUGUGCUCCUUCGGAGGAUCUAUCUUCCCACCGUUGCGAUCAGUGAAAAGGUACGUGGUUCAGCCGCCGCCGCAAUCCCCAGGUCGUCCAUAACCCUAGCCGCCACCAGAGAUAGGGUCGCCUUGAUCUCCUGAUUCCUGGCUCCAAAUCGCCUGUUCUUGGACUCAGAAUGAUCGUGGGGAUGUGCUCUCUCCAGCCGUGAAAAAGAAUCGUGGGAAAUCCAUGUGGAGAGCUCGCAGUGACUAAAAGAGUACUCUUGACGCUUUCUCGCUCAUGGAACAUGCAAAUCCAGUGAAACCAAGGCACGGCUUGCUCUCAGCAUCGUCCUUAUUGCUCUCCUAGUCCUACUCCUACUCUGGAUCAAGCACGAAAGUCGACUCUCAAGGCACUCCUCUUCUCGCUAAACUUAGGGUUUUUUUUCUCUCUCUAGUCCGACUUUUCACUAGUCCGACUUUUUUUGUUAAACGGGGCUUUUAUUCACCAGAAAACCAAAACUGGGCUGAGUUUCGUUAAGGCACGAAACCAGCAAAGAGCCGCGACAGAAAGUUUCGUCGUGCACGAAACCAACAAAGAGCAAUAGGGGGGGUCUUCACGUGGAGGUACUUUGUAGAAAAACUCGCCGCAGACUUUUAUCUCAAGCCAUGGUCUUGAGUAGAGCCAGCAGAAAGAUGAUGGGAGAAGCUCCAAGUACCAAGGAACCAGCCUUUACGACUUGAGAGUAGAGUUACUGAAGAACUUGUCUCUCUUGAUCCCUUAAGGAGAGACUCCAGGUGCCAAGGGGUCAGUGCUGAGAGGGGAGUUGCUCACAAGCUUGACGGCUCAUGCUGUCGCGAUUGUGGAAUCCAGAACCCUGUCCAGUGGCGUCCACAAUCACUCGUGAGUACUUGCCUCUCUUGAUCCCCUCAGAGGGCAUGCCUUACAUCGUCUUUGUGCCUCGUCGAGUCUCUGAACUGAAGUGUAUCUGACCAUAAGUAUUUCUUGAAACCUUGGAGGUACCCCAUGGACGUACACUGCUCUCCCUUGGUUUCUUCUUGUGCACUUUCAUAUCUGCCCCCCGCUGUAAGCUGCUGAUGAUCGGACCCUACUGAGACUCAGUACCAAUCUUGUCGCUCGUCGGUGUCGAGUGCUCUUGUUGGUGCCUUUGCUCUGGUCCAUGUCUUUAUCUUGAGUGUCUUCAUAGCUAGGGCCAAAGAACUCAUUCAUUGUGACCACACUAAACACCCUCAAUUGUCGUAGAGAAGCUGGAUGUUUGCCCAAGUGUUGGUGACGAAAUCCUCCUCACGUGGGGAGCCUUGUUUCCAAACCUCCACCAUUGUCGACCUUGAAGAAACCCACAAAGAGAACCACCUCCUUGAUAAGUCAUCAAGAUCGACAAACUUGAAGCAAGGUCGCGUACGACACCAUCACUUCAAGCUCCCAAUCCUUGGCAAGAAUCACCUUACAAGUCUUGGGGAUGAAGAGGAUCUCCUUCACCUUGCUUGAGCUCACCACUGUCCAUGGAGCAGGCCUCCAGACCCCCAGAAAGAAAACCGUGGAGUAACGAAGGACAAGUCUAAGCAGCAAGCCGAGGACUCAAAUACUUAGAUCUCCUUCCUCCACCGUUUGAUCUUCCUGAAAAUCUGAAGGCCGACUCUCCAUAUUCAGCUCCAACUUCUCACCGACGUGAUCUCGAAACGAGUGCAUUAGCCAGGAGAACCAGCCGCUCGAACUUACACUGGACUUCACUUGUUUGAACCAUGAAACUUGAGCUGACAGAUCUUGCAGCCCAGCCGUUAGAUCUUCGUGAAACUUUGUAGGCGCAAUCUCCCUAGCGUCUUCUAGCUUCUCACCAGAGCGAUUUUUGGUCCGAUGUCGCCUAAAGCAGCCACAGCUGACCCAUUCUCGCCUCAAACCUUAGCCGCCCAAGUGCCUAGGGUCACUUGUAUCUUCCCAGAUCUUUAUCCAAACGGCCUGCAUCUAGUGACAGAGUGUCUUUGCCUUGUAGAACCCCAGCCGUGGAGAAGAAAAGAGAAGCCCAGCCGGUGAUGAGUGCCAGACGCUCAAACUUCCACUGGCCCACACUUGCUUGAACCGUGAACUUCGAGCAGACGGAUCUCGCAACCCAGCCGUUAGAUCUUCUUGAAAUCUUGUAGUUGCAGUCUCCCUGGUGUCUUCUAGCUUCUCACCAGAGCGAUCUCAGAUCAGAUGGCGCAUAUAGCAGUCGCAGCCGACCCUUGCUCACCCCGAACCCUAGCCGCCGACAUGACUAGGGCCACUUCGAUCUUCUCGGAUUUCAAUCCAAACGGCCUGCAGAUAGCGACAGAGUGUUGCCUUGCAUUGUAGGAGCCCAGCCGUGGAUAGAACAGAGAAGACCAGCCAGUGAUGAGAGCAAAACAAAAGAUUUUUCGAUGAAGUGCCCAAUAUUGCUUGUGCCUUCGAUUCUUGAGGGGGCGCCUUGAUUCAGCAGCUCACAGGACUUCUACACUACCUCCUCUACACUAGAUCUGGCCACGGAAGUCGACUCUCAAUGCGCCAUCUCCUCCUCUCCGUCUAGGGUUUUCUAGUCCGACUUUUCUAGUCCCACUAGUCCGACUUUUUGUCAAUGGGGUUUUAUUUAGUUUAGCCUCUAUAAACCAUAGAGUCCGAUUUCGACAUGCUCGAAACCGGGAAAGAGCUCUUCAAGAUUUUUAGGGGGGGUGGGACGAGGGGGACGAAGUAGAACUGGUACUCGAGCCCGUGAUGUCUGAGCUCCAAGCUUUCGAAGUUCCUGAUGUGGAACUCUGUCGACUCGGGGAGGUACACGUGCUUUCGUUCCUGAACAUGUGCUGCCAAAUCCAUAUUGGUGGCUUCCACGUCCAUUCUUCUUCUCCAGCCUCGCUUCUUCCUCUAAAAAACAGCCACAGCUUCUUCUCCUUCGCUAUCUUCCCUUCCUCGCCUCGUUUGAUCAGCGUGUCCAGGCGGGCCGCGAGUGAGACGAUCAGUCUGGACCAAACCUUUGAGAUAGUUGCUCGAGCCGAGGGGUCCGUGUCCUCGAACAGCCUGGCGCAGCGAGCCUUCCAUAUCUCUGCUAGUGUGCAUCCCCGACUAGUCCGACUUUUUGUCAAUGGGGGCUUUUCAUAUUUAUCCUCUUGAAAAACCAUAGAGGUCCAGUUUCGACAUGCUCGAAACUGGCAAAGAGCAUAUGGGGGGGUUGAGAAGAGGGGAGGAUCCCUAGAACUAGAGUGCAGUUCGGUUCUGUGCAGAUCAGAUCAAGGAACUAGUGUCCGGUUCUGUGCUGCCCAAAGCCAUGCCACUCACUCCGCAAACGCGUGCUCCCUAUCCGUACUGGUGGUGAACUUCGCGCCUUAUCCAUGGUCCCCAGCCUCAUCUCUCCCAUGUGGUUGCAUCUACAAAUGUGAAGGACUUGAGUCGAUCGUGAGAUCAGUGAAGGUACACCGCCCUUGCUUGAUCUCCAUCUGUAUGACGCCUACAGUUUUCCAGAGAUAUAAGAAGCCCCUGGAGAUGUACUGUCCUAGAUCCCACAGUGCGGUGAACUGAGGAGGAGUGUGCCGUCUCCGGUAAUGGUGAUGCUGCUGCUGCCUGGGAGUCCUCUCCUCACUGCUGUGUGACUGAUCCCCUCCAACUGGGAUUGCUGUUUCCAGCCUCCCAUCAGGCCGUGCAAGUGUAGUGCCGCCACGCCAGUCCCACGGCCUCAUACCAGUGUAGCCGUACCCUUGGUGCUAUCCAUCUGGAAUCACAACCAAAGGCGAGCCGCUCCUUUCGGAUCCGGGUUGAAGCUACGUUUCCGUACUCCAACAAGCUAGCCUGAUGCAGCUUCUGACACGAGCCGUGCCCCUCGAAACAUCCCAUACAUCAAAUGGCGUUGCUCCGAGUGCCUUGAUCAUGGUGGAUCCACAACCAAGGCAAGAAAGGGAUCAGCCAACACAGCUGUACCGUACAAAUUGGGACUUCAGUGUGCCGUCGAAAGUUGUUCCUUUGCCGAUUGGGACUAGGUGUACAAUCGGAGGGUAGGGAAGUGCUGCCACGUAGUUUGAAGGACCCGGUGCGUGUCGGAGAAUAGUGUCCUUUGCAUAUUCAAACGAGCAGCCGUAACGACUAGUCCGACUUUUUGUCAAUGGGGUUUUAUUUAGUUUAGCCUCUAUAAACCAUAGAGUCCGAUUUCGACA